AUUAUCCAGCUUAAUUGUCUACACUCUGCACAAGGGACAUCCUCAUCCUCUUUGGAGUGUCACACAAUUUUAUCUCUUUCUUUUGCCACCUAUGCCAUUUUCAUCAGUUUCUGUGGAUGUGUAAAUUGCUGAUUAAAUAAAAGAUGCAUAGAUGAACAAUAGCUUUUCUAGUUAUGACUUAGAAAGUCUUGAUAUGUAAGUGCUCCUUGAGUGUAGCAGGCCAAUGGCCAAACUGCUACUUGACUGAAAAAUAACUGACAUAUUCACUUGUAAGCCUCAUGUAUGUAUAGCACCCUGUCCCCCUAGUAAACAUAAUGGAUUACAUAAAACUUGUAGAUGACAUGAAAUUUCAUAAUUGCAUAUAAUUUUAUAAAUAUAAAACUCAUACUUUCUGAAAAAUUAAAGGACAAAAGUUGAUAGAAGUCCCUUGGUUCAAAGUUAUAUUCCAUCUAGCCUCUAACAAGCUCCUUUUUACUUUGACUAAGAGGAUUUGAACUGAUUGGGGCUUUAGGGCUCAAAAACAAAAGAUAAUAUGUGCUCUGAAUGAGUCAAUGAGUUUAUGGCCUAGAGCAUAUAUCACUGCUCCAAAUUGGAUUCUGCUUUGCACCUAAAUUUAAAAAUACAUACUGUCUGAUAUUUGAAAUACAAGCUGCAUGCGUUUGUGGAAUUCAGUCUGGUCUUGAGUCCCUGCCUCCAUCAGCUGUUCUGGUCUGAUUUAUCUUGAAUCAGGCAUUAACAGAGAAUGAUUGCCAUGCCUGUUCUCAUUAUUAAUCCUUGCUGUGAGUAUUUGGUAUGAGGCUUUAGUUGGGUAAAUCUGCUUCUACCUUGUUCCUUGUUUCUAUGACCUAGUUGUUACAUUGUAGUUCUCUUGUAGUAACCUGCUUAGUAUGCAGGGAAAUUUCUAUUUUUGGACCCUGACCUACUGUUAUCAUUUUCACUCCUGAAUUGAGUGUUCUGAGCCUGAGCUCUGACCAUUAGAUGAAACUCUGCCACCCCUGAUAGCUACCUUUGAUAUUGACUGUAUCUUCUGGAACUUCAGUGUUUCUGCCAUGUCCAGCUUCUACAUUUGAUCCUGAAUUGCCUUUGGCCUUAGAGCCCCACUUGCUGGAGAUUUGCAUAGACUAGGUUCAGAGAUUAGACUUUGCUUGCCUGUCCUAUUUAACCUCCUGUCAGAACUUGCAGCUGAGUCAGCACCUGGUACUUUUCCUGCCCUGGUGAGUAGGCAAGAAUGACAGUGAACCAAAAGGCUUUGGAAGUCCUCUGUGAGUAUGUCAGACCUGCCUUCCUCGACCCAGUUUACCAUGGAGCAGAGCUGCCAGCUGACUUUGGAUACUUACUUCUGAAUGUUCCCUGAUUGAGAAAUGAAUUAUUUUUAUAGGACAAUUUAGCCUUUUACUCUAAUUAAUACAAAUAUAAAUAGAA